rnacentral:lncRNA from 1 species
AUGGAGAGAGAACGAUGAGAGAGAUCAGAAAGGAGAGAGAGAACGGUGUGUGUCGGAACGGCGGCGUUGCCUAUCACUGGUGGUGUGGUGGUGACUAGAGAUAUUAUCAGUGUGUGGUGUUGCCGGAUUCACGGUGCGGUUCCGGUGGUCAUGGAAUCAGGGUGCGGUUCCGGUGGUGAUUAGCGGCGUAGAGAAGAUGCUAGGGUUUCGGUGAAGGUCGGGCAAAAUUACGGUACCACGAGUGUCGGGAUCAACAUGAACAGACGACACCACGGGUGUCGGGAUCUCUGCCGGUGAGAGAUCUGAAAGUUUUAGGGUUCCGACGAGUCAGCUUAGCUCCGGUGAGAACCUGCUUUCCUGAACCAGAGGGCGGUGUUCAUAUCAAUCGGUGGUGUUCGAUUGUCUAUUAGGGCAGUGGGAAGAUUGUUUUCGCUGUGUCAUUCAAUGGAUACUUCUUGCCAAGUUUUUAGAAGAGGAGGGAUGGUCAUCGGGCGGUAUGAUGGUGAGUUUGCGGGUUCCGGCGAGGCAGUGAUUGACCAAGAUAAUUUGAAAACUUUCUGUGGUCAUAAAGUAUAGAUGUGGAACUCCAGGAACUGCCAAGAAGAAAGGAAUAACAUGAUCAGGAACAUACAUUCAAGAACUGAAGUGUUCAUAGUAAUUAACAUAGUCGUAGAGUAUUAUUGGCGACAUAUCAUGUGAUUACACCAAGAAUGAUUUGGUUUAGCAUGAUCGUGUUAUGAGUUGUGAUGUCAAACGUACACACCAAGAAUGAUUAAGUUUAGCAUCAUCGUGUUAUGAGUUGUGAUGUAAAGCGUAAACACUAAGAAUGAUUGAUCCGGUUUAGCAAAGAAUGAUUUGGUUGAGUGCGCCGUAACGCGGCGCUGCGCAUAAAGCUAGUUCAAUUAAUUUUACAACUCUACGGAAUAUUGCACACAUUCAAACAAUUUGUCAUGUUC